UACGUAGGGUGCAAGCGUUGUCCGGAAUUACUGGGCGUAAAGGGCGCGUAGGCGGUUCGAUAAGUCAGCUGGUGAAAACCAUGGGCUUAACUCAUGGCCUGCAGUUGAGACUGUCGGGCUGGAGUGUGGGAGAGGAGAGUGGAAUUCCUGGUGUAGCGGUGAAAUGCGUAGAUAUCAGGAGGAACACCGGUGGCGGAAGGCGGCUCUCUGGACCACAACGUGACGC
rnacentral:rRNA from 1 species